GGUCAUGACGCCAUCAUGUUCACAGCGGACGAUAAGGUCGAUGUCAUCUCCAAGCUUCCACCUGCGGUAACUACGAGGACAGCAAGACGCACUCACUACAAGAUCCAGUGCUGUGGAUGGACCACCCCAAACAGCACAGGACAGGGUCACCUGUCCCCAAGAGCUGACUUACCGUUCAUAAAUGGGAAGAGGAGGAGGAAGAGGAAGGAGAAGAGGAGAAGUAGGAGGAAGAAGAGUCCUAUGCAUAUAACACACAGCCACAGCACUGGUGUGAGGACUCAGAGCUGAAGUGCACAGAAGCACUGAAGUGGUCUCUUUGCUUGGACUCUAGAGGACGGGCGGGAUCAUCACACUGCUCAUUCUUAUUCUUAAGAACUGACAACACUCAUGCCUACCAAAGUCAGAGUUGUCCCUCUUGUCAAAGAAGAGUUUAGAGCCGACUCUCUGGACAACGAUGUCCCAGGAGUACACGGAGCGGGUGCAGCUCAUCAGCGUGGCCAGGAUGGCGUCAGUGGCAAACACAUUGCCCUGCGUUUUUGCCAGCUGAAAGCAGGGAGAAAGGGACAAGAGAGUGAACUGAAGACGCUGAGGUCACUUGGGAAGGAAGACAUGCCCAGUCAGUCAUGGAGGCUGCAGCAAAUGGGCUGGGCUGUCACUGUAGCAGGCCAUGGUGGAAGCAUGGCCCUCACUCCACUCAUUAGUUUCCAGCCGAGCCACCCCUCUACCUUUGUAGGUAAGAAAGCUAAGGCUCCAGGGCAGCAAAGUCAGGCUGACAGAGCUAGAAUCUGAGCACGCCUCUGCUCAACAUAUUUAAGUGUAUCUACUUCCAUCAAACUCUAAGUGUGAUGUGGAAGAACCUCAUCUAAGGGCUGGGCUAUGCAGUCAGACGUUCCUGUGGGGUCUCAGCAAUCAAUCCACAUGUUCAGGGGAGAAAACGUGCCUGACAAGCACGCACACCUUCUCUUUGUCAGGUGCCUCAAACAACAGUGUAACAACUGCUUAUGUAGUAGCAUCCAGUGUCUUAGGUGUGGUGGGCAAUCCAGAAGGAUCUGAAGCAUGGAAGAUUGCUGGGGCUGAUAGGCGAGUCACAUCACCGGUACUGGAGCACCCAUGGCUUUUGGUAUCGUGGGGUGGUCCUGAAUCAGACCCUGUGAACACUGUGGGACACCUGCACGUCUUGUGCCCUGCUCUUUCUGAGGCCUCAGCAACAUUCUCAAUGGUGGGCAAAGGGUGCACACCUUCCGGAUGACAGGGUCGUCUGUGGUGGUGACGGUGUGAAAGAUGCGCUUGAUGCUCCGCAGGGGCUUCUCACUCCUCGUGGUGAUGCGGUCAAAGGCUUUGUCGUAGUACUCCAGGGCUCCGCAGCACUCGCUGCGGGGAGAGGGGAAAAAAAAAAAAAAAAUCACAGAGAUCCUCUUCCUCUUUUAUGCCAUGGAAUCGGAAGUCAGAUCUAUUGGCAUGCCUGGCACUGCAGGGUGCGUGCCUACAAUCCCAGGGUUAGGGAGGCAGAUGCAGGAGGAUGGCAAAUUAAAAACCUCAGCUACACAGGAGGGUCCAUCUCAGAAAAUAAACUUCACCCAGAAGUUCAGUAUAUAUGAAAGAGAUGGCAUUAAUCUCUCUGAAAAUGAGACAAAUCUUUAGUGUUAGUUUAGUUUUCUGUCUUCACAGCUCCCAAUGUUCCUCUGUAGAACACAGGGAAAGAUCCUACACAGUGAACCUUCCCUGGGAAACUGAGCCCAUUAUAGAGGCACCCAGAUAGAUGGACUUCUGGGUUGAAGCUCUGGCUCUCCACUGACUUAGCUCUAUGUCCUUGCCCUCUGGUGUACGAUGCUACACAAAACGGAGUCUCCUGAACAACUGUCACGCCUCUCCUGCUGCAGGAGCUUAGUGACUGAACUACUGGGCUUUUUCUCGGAUGCCAAGAGUGGAAAGAAACUGGGACUUUUAGUAAACAAUGCAUUUUUUAAAGCGGGUCUUGAUCUUUCAAAAACAUACCCACCAGUCCAUAGCACUGUAAGUGGCUUCAAAUCUGCUUUGGAGUUGCUAGGACUUAAGGAGACACUGAUCCCCGGCAGGCAGACAGACUCUGAAACAGGGUGGGCACCAGGGAAGAAGCUACUCACAUGUCUUGAGGCUCUGACACUUCCAAGUAGCGCAUCUUCAUCAGCUGAGGGAAGUCCAUCUCCUCCUUCACCUCCCAGUCACUGCGAACUUCAACUGAGGAGUCUCGGGGUUUCUGCAGAGGAAACACAGGAAGAUCUUCAUAUCUUACGCAAAUAGCAAAAGACAGAGUGACAUGGGAAGGGCUUUCAUUCAGUCAUUAUGGUCCUGGCUGUUUUUUUUUUUUAAGUUCAUUUUUGUUUAUUGUAUUUAUUUAAUAUCUGGGUUCUCUGCUGCAUGUACACCCGCAGGCCAGAUGAGGGCAUCGGAUCCCUUUACAGAUGGGCAUGAGCCACCACCUGGGUGUUGGGAAUUGAACUCAGGACCUCUGGAAGAACAGCCAGUGCUCUGAAAAGCUGAGUCAUCUCAUUAGCCUGGUCCUGGCUGUUUUUAAGCAGGGCACGUGACUCGUGGCAGCUCAGAGAAGGAAGCAGGGCCUCAGCAUGGGGCUUCUCAGGGUGUCAAGCACACGCCCGAUACAGCAAGCAGCUAAGUCAACCUGCACCUUCACGACUUUAUCACCCUACAACACUCGGCAGUGAAGCCGAGAUUCUGUGCCCGAAAAGCAGCUGCUUUGCUGUUGGCAAAACUCCUAGCCCAAACUCCACUUCUGGUCAUGUCUGCUAUGCUCACAGCUCCCACAAAGAUGGCAGUGUUAUACCUAACAGUGCCAAAGUGGAAAGAUGAAUGGCUGAAGGAAAUGUGGCAACCCAUACAAAAAAACCACUCUUAGGCAAAAAGACUCCAUGUUUGUGAGCUUUAUACCAGCAGGUCUGUACCCAGUCACAUGUAAACUGAAAAUCCUUGGAUGCUCAGCAUGCUGGAAAUCCCACCUACUGGGUGGCUGACAGAGGAGGAUCACCCGAGAGUUAAAAUGAUACUUUCAACCCAAAUAUAUAAUCCAGAGGCAAGCUAAAGUCCACGAGGGGACACACAUGAGAUACAUGCAGAGAAGGUCAGUGCACACAAAUCUUGAUCUCUGAGGGUACCUGGAACCAAUCCUUAACAGACAUGAAUAAAAAGUGAAAAGACUGUGCUAACACGGGCUGCGAUAUGAUCUUAAAAGUGGCACACUAACUAAAGGGCACAGAGUAUGAUCCCAUUGUACAUGAAAUGCCCGCGGGCAUCAGGGGAGUCCCAAGACAUCUCUCAAGGUCAAAGAAAACAAACCCAUCCAAGUCCCCACAGAGUCCCUGGAGGGACACUACCUGUGAUUUCUGGUCCCAUUUUUGCCUCACUCCAAAUUGCUUCUGGAAUUUUUUCUGCAAGCGAAUUCGUUCUCUGAAAAGACAGACAAAAUGCUGUGAUUUCAGUGUCGGCUUCUAGCUGAAUCGCAUCAUCCUUCCUAGCUGCUACCAGGAUAGAAAAUAGGGGCUUAGAUGCAGACAGCACGUAGGCACACACUGGGGAUGCGAGCAGAGGCGCACUACUAGUAUCAACCAGCAUUCAGCCCAGUUACUCCCAUGGCAGCCCUGGCUAGGGUGCAGUGGCUGCUGUGCCCAGCCCCAAGGGCCCACAGGAUAUAGCAUUAAGUGGUGCUGCCUGGAACCAGGCAUCCAGAAUGUAGAGGCCACAGAGCCACUUCAAAUGUCCGCCUCACCCACGUCCUGUCUGUCUGCCAUUGCCCAGUCUUGGGCAGAAAUAGGUGAGGAGGUUUUGCUUUCUCUUUCAAGAGUGAAAGAUAGCCAGUCCCUGCCCUGCUCUGUGAUUUUGAGUACAGCCCAUUUGGGAACAUGACUCUGACUUGGCAGGAAGGGACGCUCACCUCUCUUUCUGCUUGGCACUCUUGGGCAGGGUCUGUAGGUUGAACUGCACCAUGUUCCUCCGAUCUUUGUCUCUGCGGAGGUUCCGCUGGGGAGCAGGAAGAGACCCAUGUUAACCCCUCGGAGACAAGGCUCAUGGUAUCUUGAGAGUAAGUUUACGGCGUGAGUUCUAAGUUUCACAUCUCUUUACUUUUACUCUACAGCGGCUACAGAAUUUGGGCUAAGGGGAGUAGCACUUGUGUUAGCUUGGACUGUCAUUCCCACUUUAAUGUGGGUUUACUAGUUUUAUUGGAGUUGCAAAGUUUGCAACAUUAUGUAGCAGGAGGCACCCUACCAAACCAUGUAAUUAACAAAGGUUGUACAUGACAAGUCAGCAAGGCACUGGGUUCCCAGCACAGCUGUGUGAUGUCUGAACUUGUGAACAAAAAUCUAAACUCCUUCAAUG
rnacentral:lncRNA from 1 species